UACGUAGGGACCAAGCGUUGUUCGGAUUUACUGGGCGUAAAGGGCGCGUAGGCGGCGUGACAAGUCACUUGUGAAAUCUCUGGGCUUAACCCAGAACGGCCAAGUGAUACUGUCGUGCUAGAGUGCGGAAGGGGCAAUCGGAAUUCUCGGUGUAGCGGUGAAAUGCGUAGAUAUCGAGAGGAACACCUGAGGUGAAGACGGGUUGCUGGGCCGACACUGACGCUGAGUGCGCGAAAGCGUGGGGAGCAAACAGG
rnacentral:rRNA from 1 species